rfam:Toxocara canis scaffold4311, whole genome shotgun sequence.
GCGGCAGUAGCUCAGUGGUAGAGUCCCGCUUCGCAUGCGGGGAGACCUGGGUUCGAUUCCCGGCUACUUCC